rnacentral:lncRNA from 1 species
UAAAGACAAACAUAAAAAUAUCAGGAAACUUAAGUGAAGAACAACAAACUCUUCUUGAGGUUGUGUUUCAUUUGUUCUAAUUUGCUCUUCUUGUUUUCAUGGAGUAUCUAACAGUUGUAUAACAAAGGGUUGCUGGACUAGGAAUUUAUUCGUGGAGUACCUGCUCUGUGUGAGACAUUGCGUGUGAAAACAAGCAGUACGAGACAUCUCAUACUUUCCUAGAGCAUUUGUCUGGGAAGACAUGAUACAGACUUUGACAAAAAAAAAAAAAAAAAAAAAAAAAUCAAGAGUGGGCAGUUCUUUGUGUUGGAUACACAGACAAAAAGUACUACCCAAUGGCAGCGGAGUGUCCAUUGGAAUGCACAUCUAUCAGAGUAGCCCCGAAACCAAGCAAGUGAUCUUCCAAUAUGGCCUUUUGGAACUCUCUGAGAGCCCUGAGAUGUCAAGUAAGAAGUUUGUCUGAGGCCGGGCAUGGUGGCUCAAGCCUUUAAUCCCAGCACUUUGGGAGUCAGAGGCAGGUGGAUCACGAGGUCAAGAGAUCGAGACCAACCUGGUCAACAUGGUGAAACCCCGUCUCUACUAAAAAUACAAAAAAUUAGCUUGGCAUGAUGGCACAUGCCUGUCAUCCCAGCUACUCAGGAGGCUGAGGCAGGAGAAUUGCCUGAACUGAAAAGGCGGAGGUUGCAGCGAGCCGAGAUCGCGCCACUGCACUCCAGCCUGGGUAACAAGAGCAAAACUCCAUCUCAAAAAAAGAAAGAAAAAAAAAAGAAGUUUGUCUGAUAUUGCUUGUUGGAGAGGCCAAAUGGAGCUACUCUGAUUGACAGUUCCAGCUGAGUCAUCCAGACAAGCCUUCCAAUCAUUCCUUGCAUCCAAGGUACCAG